GGCGGGAGCCGGCGCUGCCCAACGGCCGCGGCGCGCGCCGCCCAACGGCCGCCGGCGGCUCCGCCAGCCCUUCCCGAGGCGGCCGCGGGGGCUCCGGGCGGGCUCGGGGCGGGCUCCGGGCGGGCAGCCCCCGCGCUGCGCUUUCCGUCCGUCCGGCGUGUGUUUCCCCCCGGGAGCUGACGAAGAGCGUGAAGCGCUGAGCACAGGUUCACCCGUAUCCUUCCCCCAAGCGCUGCCGCGGCUUCCCGCACAGGUCACGAGCGAAUUCGCACGGACAUGGAAAGGACCCUUCAGGUGCAGCUCUUCAAUACCUUUUCAGCUGAGAAUGCAACAUGGGGCUCCCGCCAAGAGUAAAAAAGGGAAGGCAGACUGACCUGACCAGAAGAUAAUUUCUCUUUUUCAUAACAAUGAUAGCAAUGUAGCUGAAAAGUGGUUGGCUUUAAUUAAAUUUGAAAAUUUUAGUGCUUAAAUUCUGUAUUACUUUUGCAAUGUAUCACCAGAGGAAACAAAACCAACUGGAAUAUAAAUAAGCUUACAAAUCCUCCUGACAAAAAAAAACAACAAACUGGAGCACAGUGCUAAACUGUACUAACAAAUCCUCACUCUUCAGUGGUAACCAGCAGGAAUAUAAUGUUUCAUCUACCCAAGAGAUUCCUCCAUUCCUUCUCCCUUCUGUUUCCUCCUGACCCACCAAUUCUCUCUGCACAGAAACUUCACCCUUACAGUCCAAAUGAGAAAACAGGCUUACUAGAAUUCACUCUUGCUCCCCAGCAACUUGAAAUCAGUUCCUAAGCAGAAAGAAUUUUUAUUCAGGUAGUUUUCAGGAGCAACUUGUGGUAAGAAGCAAGACAAAACAAGAAAAACAAUUCUGAAAGCACGUUCAGCCAAGACACUACAGGAUUACACACAACAAGUAGUGAAGAUCCAUCUGUUAAAUUCCUCAUUGCAAAAGCUUAAUUGAAGUGACAUAAAUGGCAAAGCAUGAACAUUUUAUAACUUAAUCAGCUAAGAAUAAUUUUUAAUAUUCUCUUCUAAUGUUAAAGCCAAGCUUCUUACCUUGUAUUAAAUUUUACAUUUACAAGA